AGUUUCACUUAAAGUCUGUAAUUUGUUUCUGUCAAAGUGUGUACAAGACCAGUAUCUUCUACAGUUAUUAAGAAAUGCAGACAGUAUCAGUACCUGGGUUGCUGCUGAAAUUGUAACGUGUCACACUUCAAAGCUGCAGGUGAGCUUGUUAUCAAAAUUUCUUCUUAUAGCAAAAUCCUGCUAUGAACAAAGAAAUUUUGCCACUGCGAUGCAAAUCUUAGCAGGCUUGGAAAAUCUUAUUGUUCGACAGUUACCAGCAUGGAAAAUUUUACCUGCAAAAGUAGCUGAAAUAAUGGAAGAACUCAAGGCUGUUGAGGUGUUUUUAAAAAGUGACAGCUUAUGUUUGAUGGAAGGAGAAAGGUUCAAAACACAUCCAACAAUUCCAUCAGCCCAUGUUUUGGCUAUGCAUGUCCAACAGCUUGAAACUGGAGGAUUCACGAUGACAAAUGGAGCUCACAAGUGGACUAAACUUAGAAAUAUUGCAAAAGUUGUGAGCCAAGUUCAUGCAUUUCAAGAGAAUCCCUAUACAUUUACACCAGAUUUCAAGCUGCAGUCUUACCUCAGACAAAGAAUAACUCGUUUUAAAGAUGCAGACAUUUCUGCCUUGGCAGCUGACAACUGUGCCAACUUCCAUCAGAUACCAGCAGAAAAGCAUUCUCGAAAAAUUCAAGACACACUGCGCAGGAUGAAGGCAACAUUUCAGUAAUUAUUUGCUUUUUAUCUGUUCUAUGCCAAGUGUAAAACUGCAUUAAGUUGACUACAUCUCCUGGACCAAUUCCCAAGCAAAUAGUUAAGUGAAGUGAAUUUCAACAUACUAUCUCAAGUUGAAAUGGAUAUAUUUCUUAACAUGGAAUUGUAAAACACUGUCUAAUGAGAUUGGAUUUCCUGGAUGACUUAUCAAAAGGAUAAAAAUAAAGAGAAAAGUAAAGAGAGGGUAUAGAUGAAAAGGAUAACUCAUUCUGUCACUGUUCUUUAUCAGAAAAAUAAUUAGUCCACAAACAAAUGUGGAAGAAAUACUGUGGAAAGAACUUAAAAUCACGGUUUCUGUUGCAAAGUUGGCCUAGGAGAGUUCAGAGUGUAGUUCAUUAGAUGUUGAAUAUAUUUUUAUAAAAACAUAGUGCAUUUGUACCCUGUCACAGUGUGCAUAUAAUUCAGGGGCACAAGUCCUCUGCUAUCCUCUAACUGUUGGUGGUUUUUUCUGUUAUGGCGUGUUUCAUGAAAACUAUACUUGAUUUAAAUAAUUGGCCAUCUUUUUCUUCAAACAUACUAAAGAAGGAGAGGAAUGCCAUGCUGAAACAUUUUGGUUUGCUUUUAAUGCCAUUGAACUAACCUGUUUCCAAAUAAAAGUAAGACCUGAAUCUAAAUAUUACCACUUUGUUGCUCUGGUUCUGCCUUUGUGGCAGAUGUGAAAUUGCUUGUUUCUGUCUGUACUUGGUGCAAGAGUCACUUUGCUGAUUUGUGUACGUAUGUGCACACAUUUGAUUAUAGCUUUUGCUCCUGACAUUACUUUACUAGACUGUAAUGCUGCAACAGCACUAAGUAAAGAUAACUGUGUGUGAAAUUUGGAUCUGCAUCUUGUGAAACUUUGGUGCUAACAUAUUUAUAGAGCUUAUG